rnacentral:rRNA from 1 species
GACGAACGCUGGCGGCGUGCCUAAUACAUGCAAGUCGAGCGGACGAAUCGAAAGCUUGCUUUUGAUUCGUUAGCGGCGGACGGGUGAGUAACACGUGGGCAACCUGCCCUGUAGACGGGGAUAACACCGAGAAAUCGGUGCUAAUACCGGAUAACACGAAAUGUCGCAUGACGUUUCGUUGAAAGACGGCGCGAGCUGCCGCUACAGGAUGGGCCCGCGGCGCAUUAGCUAGUUGGUGAGGUAACGGCUCACCAAGGCGACGAUACGUAGCCGACCUGAGAGGGUGAUCGGCCACACUGGGACUGAGACACGGCCCAGACUCCUACGGGAGGCAGCAGUAGGGAAUCUUCCGCAAUGGACGAAAGUCUGACGGAGCAACGCCGCGUGAGCGAAGAAGGCCUUCGGGUCGUAAAGCUCUGUUGUUAGGGAAGAACAAGUAACGCAGUAACUGGCGUUACCGUGACGGUACCUAACGAGAAAGCCACGGCUAACUACGUG